rnacentral:rRNA from 1 species
GAAUUCAACUCCUACGGGAGGCAGCAGCAAGGAAUCUUCCGCAAUGGGGGCAACCCUGACGGAGCAACGCCGCGUGGGGGAUGACGCCCUUCGGGGUGUAAACCCCUUUUCUGCGGGAAGAAGGGCUUCGGCCUUGACGGUACCGGAGGAAGAAGGACCGGCUAACUACGUGCCAGCAGCCGCGGUAAUACGUAGGGUCCGAGCGUUGUCCGGAGUUACUGGGCGUAAAGCGCGCGCAGGCGGCGGUGCUGGCCCGGCGUGAAAGCCCCCGGCUCAACCGGGGAGGGUCGUCGGGGACCGCACCGCUUGAGGGCGGUAGGGGCUGGUGGAAUGCCUGGUGUAGUGGUGAAAUGCGUAGAGAUCAGGCGGAACACCCGUGGCGAAGGCGGCCAGCUGGGCCGUCCCUGACGCUGAGGCGCGAAGGCGUGGGGAGCGAACGGGAUUAGAUACCCUAGUAGUCCAGGCGUU